GUCUUCUGGCCCCUGGGUUACUGGUAGAGACCCCUGCACCUCCUCCUUCUUCUCCCCAGGCAGAGCAGAGGCCCCUAGGGGCCCAGCCUGGAGAGCGCUGGAGACAUUUGCCGACUCAGACCUGAUGGCCCCGGGCUCCCAGUCCACCUCGAUGCCAAGUACCAAACGGCCACUCCAGAAUGGUGGCCAUCCGUCAUGUGGGCAGCCGGGGAUCCACCUUAAAGAGCGGAAACACAGAGAGAAGGAACAAUGAGACUCACUCCCGUUCUCCCUCACCUCUUCCCUCAGACAUUGAUCUGCACUGCAACAAUAUAUUAUAUCACCUCUGCUCGGGGGAUGGUGGGAGACACCUCCGUGCUUUUAUUUAACGGUUGGUGCAAUCACUAUAAAUAAAGCUACAUCACAGAGCAACAUUUUCUGUUCUGUAGUCACAUCAUAUGGAAACUUCCUACUUUAUUCAAAUAGACGUCUUUGCAGCAUUAACAGUGAUUACAUGCAGUACAGUCAGUUUUUUUAACUUAUCUACCACAUAAAGACAAGCAACAAGCAUAAAGACCGCAGCAUCAGGGGCUUCUCCAGCACCAAUACAAUAUCACACUGAGUAAAUAUGAAGUUUAUUAAAAGUACGUCAGUUCUCUGUCUUUGAUAGAAUGGAUGUCAUGUGUGGCUUGUUUGAUCUUAAGUUUACUGUUCAACUGACCUUGUGCAUUUUCUCUCUGGCUUCACAUGUAGCUGAAAAAUAUGAAGUUAUUUCUACACCAGGUUUCAUGCAUAUCUACAAAAGCUAUACUUCAUGUUUGUUAUCUUUAUUCUGUGCAAACUGAGGAGUCCAAGCAAAUAAACUGACAGAAUGAGUAUUUCCCAAAUCGCUCUGUAUAAACCCUCAGAAUAUAUACAAGAAUAAAACUGGAAAUGUA